UACGAAGGGGGCUAGCGUUGCUCGGAAUUACUGGGCGUAAAGGGCGCGUAGGCCGAUAGUUUAGUCAGAGGUAAAAGCCCAGGGCUCAACCUUGGAACUGCCUUUGAUACUGGCUAUCUUGAGUUCGGGAGAGGUGAGUGGAACUGCGAGUGUAGAGGUGAAAUUCGUAGAUAUUCGCAAGAACACCAGUGGCGAAGGCGGCUCACUGGCCCGGUACUGACGCUGAGGUGCGAAAGCGUGGGGAGCAAACAGG
rnacentral:rRNA from 1 species